rnacentral:tRNA from 1 species
AAAUAAGUAAGCUAAUUCUAAGCUUUUAGGUUCAUACCCUAACUAUAGAAAAAUAUUCUCUUAUUUA